AUAGGCUAAUUAAGGGCGUAUGGGGGAUGCCUAGGCUCUCAGAGGCGAAGAAGGACGUGAUAAGCUGCGAAAAGCUACGGGGAGUGGCACAUACAUUGUGAUCCGUAGAUAUCCGAAUGGGGCAACCUGUUAUGUUGAAGACAUAUCACCUCGUAAGAGGAGCAAACCCGGGGAACUGAAACAUCUAAGUACCCGGAGGAGAAGAAAACAAAAGUGAUUCCGCUAGUAGCGGCGAGCGAACGCGGAACAGCCCAAACCAAAGUUGUUACGGCAAUUUUGGGGUAAUAGGACCACAACAUUUGAUGCAUUAUGAACUAGAAUCUACUGGAAAGUAGAACCAUAGAGGGUGAUAGUCCUGUAUAGGUACAAUGAUGUUAUUGAUAGUGGUAUCCUGAGUAGUGCGGGGCACGUGAAACCUUGCAUGAAUUCGCCGGGACCAUCCGGUAAGGCUAAAUACUCCUGAGAGACCGAUAGUGAACCAGUACCGUGAGGGAAAGGUGAAAAGAACCCUGAAUAAGGGAGUGAAAUAGAUCCUGAAACCAUACGCUUACAAGCGGUCGGAGCCCUUUAGGGGGUGACGGCGUGCCUUUUGCAUAAUGAGCCUACGAGUUACCGUUGCUAGCAUGGUUAAUCCGUUCAGCGGAGGAUCCGAAGCGAAAGCGAGUCUGAAUAGGGCGAAUAAGUUAGUAGUGGUAGACGCGAAACCGAGUGAUCUACCCAUGAGCAGGUUGAAGCUUUGUUAACCCAAAGUGGAGGACCGAACCCGUUGACGUUGAAAAGUCUUGGGAUGACUUGUGGGUAGGGGUGAAAGGCCAAUCAAACUCGGAAAUAGCUCGUACUCCCCGAAAUGCAUUUAGGUGCAGCGUUGUAAUAGUUAUAUAGAGGUAGAGCUACUGAUUGGAUGCGGGGGCUUCACCGCCUACCAAUUCCUGACAAACUCCGAAUGCUAUAUAAUGUUUUACAGCAGUGAGGGCAUGGGUGCUAAGGUCCAUGUCCGAGAGGGAAAGAACCCGGACCAUCAGCUAAGGUCCCCAAGUGUAUACUAAGUUGAAUAAACGAGGUUUGACUGCCCAGACAGCUAGGAUGUUGGCUUGGAAGCAGCCAUUCAUUUAAAGAGUGCGUAACAGCUCACUAGUCGAGCGGACGAGCAUGGAUAAUAAUCGGGCAUAAGUAUAGUACCGAAGCUAUGGAUUUGUAUUAUAUACAAGUGGUAGGGGAGCAUUCUAACAGGGUUGAAGGUGUAUCGUAAGGUAUGCUGGACUGGUUAGAAAAGAAAAUGUAGGCAUAAGUAACGAUAAUGCGGGCGAGAAACCCGCACACCGAAAGACUAAGGUUUCCACAGCUAUGCUAAUCAGCUGUGGGUUAGUCGGGACCUAAGGCGAACCCGAAAGGGACAGUCGAUGGACAACGGGUUAAUAUUCCCGUACUACUUAUUACUGUGAUGGGGUGACGGAGUGAUGAAAGCGCCGCGAACUGACGGAAUAGUUCGUUGAAGUACCUACCUAUAAGAAGCGCAGGCAAAUCCACGCUUCUUGGGGAAAUACGAUAGUACUCGGAGACUUCGGUCAAAGAGAUAGUGCGCCUAAGGGCUUCCAAGAAAAACCUCUAAACUUCAGGUAAUAAGUACCCGUACCGCAAACCGACACAGGUAGUCGAGGAGAGAAUCCUAAGGUGCUCGAGAGAUUCAUGGCUAAGGAAUUAGGCAAAAUAGACCCGUAACUUCGGGAGAAGGGUCGCCACGCUUUUGGCGUGGCCGCAGUGAAGAGGUCCAGGCGACUGUUUAUCAAAAACACAGGGCUCUGCAAAAUCGUAAGAUGAAGUAUAGGGCCUGACACCUGCCCGGUGCUGGAAGGUUAAGUGGAGAUGUUAUCUUCGGAGAAGCAUUGAAAUGAAGCCCCAGUAAACGGCGGCCGUAACUAUAACGGUCCUAAGGUAGCGAAAUUCCUUGUCGGGUAAGUUCCGACCU
rnacentral:rRNA from 1 species